GCUCAAAUUUGAAAUCUCAGCGCAAGCUGCGAAUUGUAGUUUAGAGAAACGUUUUCGGGGCCGGCGCCAGUACAAGUUCUUUGGAACAAGGCAUCACAGAGGGUGAAAAUCCCGUCUUUGACUGGCUGCUUGGUUCCAUGUGAUACGUUUUCCAAGAGUCGGUUUGUUUGGGAAUGCAGACCAAAAUGGGUGGUAAAUACCAUCUAAAGCUAAAUAUUGGCGAGAGACCGAUAGCGAACAAGUACCGUGAGGGAAAGAUGAAAAGAACUUUGAAAAGAGAGUUAACCAGUGCGUGAAAUUGUCAAAAGGGAAACGUUUAAAACCAGUAUUGCGGGCAGAAACUCAGGUUCCAUUUAUGGUGCUGUAUUUUUCUGUCGGCGAGUCAACAUCAGUUUUGCUUGGAGUAAAACGCCAGGGGAAGGUAGCCUUCGGGUGUUAUAGCCUCUGGUAAUGCUCUGGGCGGGACUGAGGACUGCAGCGUUCUUUGGGUUUACCACACCAACGCUUAGGAUGUUGACGAAAUGGUUUUAAGCGACCCGUCUUGAAACACGGACCAAGGAGUCUAACAUAUAUGCGAGUAUUUGGGUGGCAAACCCUUAUGCGUAAUGAAAGUGAAAAGGUGGGAUCCUUUGCUGGUGCACCAUCGACCGCGCCAGAAUAUUGCUAUCUCGGCGUGAGUAUGAGCAUACAUGUUGGGACCCGAAAGAUGGUGAACUAUGCCUGAAUAGGGUGAAGCCAGAGG
rnacentral:rRNA from 2 species